CACCGGAGCCCACAAGUGGGGAUCACGAUUAUUGGGUCUAAAGCGUCCGUAGCUGUUUGAGAAAGUCUCUUGUGAAAUUGUUCGGCUUAACCGAGCAGCGCGCAAGAGAUACUCCUCGAAUAGGGACCGGGAGGAGACAGAGGUAUACCUUGGGGAGCGGUAAAAUGCUAUAAUCCUUGGUGGACCACCAAUAGCGAAGGCAUCUGUCUAGAACGGGUCCGACGGUCAGGGACGAAAGCUGGGGGAGCAAAAGGGAUUAGAUACCCGUGUAGU
rnacentral:rRNA from 1 species